CGACAGUAAAAACUGCACGAAGAUCACAACUAUGUGUACAGUUCCAUUGGCAGAGGCGCAGUGGAGGUCAAGGUAUAGUUCAACAUAUCAGGAAACAAGAAACACAUAGACUCAGACGGUCAGGGCUGAGUUUCCUCUCUUCAGUGGAUCUAGUAGUCAGAGGUUCUUCAGGGCUGACAUGGCACACUCCACAACAAACUCAAUCAAGGACAUCCUCAGGAACACACUGGGUGAACUCGGCCAGAACGAUUUCAAGAAUUUCAAGAAAUUAUUGAAUGAAGUUGGUAAAAUCCAAUGGACAAAGCUUGAGACUGCAGAGCUAUAUGGAACAGUAGAUUUAAUAGUGCAAGUGCACACUGUGGAGGCUGGGCAGGUAGUUAUUAAUAUAUUGAAAAAGAUGAAUCAGAACAAGUUGGCAGAAGACUUGGAGAAGGAGCUAAAAGCAGCGAUGGCUCUAUCUGCCAGCCCAGGUUUCACUCCACAGCUCAGUGUUAACUACACCCUGAAUGAAAAACAGAGUGCGGUGAAUCAGAGGGGGAAAAACGUGGACGAGAGAGAAAUAAACUGCUCAGAACGAGAGAAGGCAGUUGAUGACAGAGAAAAUAAUUGCUGGAUUAGAGAAAAAAAAUUGGAUGAGAGAGAGAAGAACUGCUAUACAAGAGAGAAAAAUGUGGAAGAGAGAGAGAAGAACUGCACCAAAAGAGAGAAACAAUUAGAGAAAAGAGAGAAUCAACGCACAUGAAGGAAUGAUGCACAAGUGGCUCAUUACUGCUCAUUACUGUGGACAUCUGAGGACACUCCUCACCACACACAGAGGACCUACGUACAUCUCAUUAUUAUUAGGGGGCCAAGCAGCGAAGCUGGCGGGACUUGCUCCAAACCGCCUGGACCACACCACAGGGAGUGACAUUACACCAACUGGUAGUCUUAAACACCUCGCCUCAAAUAGAGGACCUAAUUAAGGGGAAGAUUUUUUUUUGUAUUGAAAGUUGUCUGAAAUAUGAUUAAAUAUGCAAACGAUUUCAUCUACUUAAUAUGAUGUAAGAUAUGCAACAACAGGCUAAAACAUAAAAAAGUGAUGAUUCACAUUAUUGAUAAGCCCCCUUCAUCACAUAUGCAAAAUCUACCUUCGUCAUUUUAGUAGAACAUAUAUUUUUCAAGGUCAGAAGUAGGAGAUUUCCUAUGCAUCUUGCCAUUCCAAAAUCUGUUACAUUUGACCUUGGAAAAGUAUGUUCCACUAAAUACACGAGGGUGGAUUUUUAAUAUUUGAUGCAGAGUUUUCAGGAUCAAUGUAAUAUAUGAACCAUUACUAUUGCAAUUUGUGCUAUGUUUGAUCUGUAACCAGAUUUUAUCACCAUGAUCAUCAUAUUCCAGAAAACUUGCAAUUAAAAAAACAUUUGCCUUAAUAUGAGUUACCAACUGUGGAAGUUCUCCUAUUUUACAUGUCUCAUACACUUUUUUAAUUUGGAUUUGUGCAUACUAUAUGCUUUUCUAUACAGCCUCAAGUUCACAUUGUCCCUCAGCUAAACAAAAAAAUGCUCCUUGUAAUUCAUUGCACCAAAUAUGCAUUGUCUUUGGUAGUUAUUGGAAAUAUUUUUAUUUUUAAAGGGCACCUCAUUUCCAUGUUGUGGUAUGUUGUCGGGCAACUCUACAAUUGUGUAAAUGCUUCUGUUCUGUUUGAUAUUGUUCAGCUCAUUAGAUAACACAUGAGUUGAGUGACAAAGCAAAUCUUAUUUUGACAAGUUAUUAAUGCAACAAAUAGCCUGAUAACUUGAUUUGUUAGAGAGGAACACAUUUCAUUGUAUUCCAAAUAACAGUGGGGAUCCUACACUGAUUUACUUCCUGGUCAAGACUCCUUCUACUUGAAUAUGAAAAAUUGCAUUAAAAGUUCAUUACAAAGUAAAAUGACAUAUAAGUCAAUUUAAACAAUUUAAAACAAUUCAAAAUACAUCAACUCGUAAUAAAUGAAAUUUCAUUUAGAGUUUGACUCACCUCUUGGUCAAGACUCU